rnacentral:ncRNA from 1 species
ACUUAUACGUUGAAAAGGAAUAGUAGUGGACGAAACGAGCAUAGAGAGUUGACGGGUGGUGGAAGUCAACAAACGAUCGGACAUGAACUCGCCUUGGAGUAGCAAGUGUGAACCCUUCAUUCAGAAGGCAGUAAUAUUUCGCCGUAUCAUCCGCGUUAAGGAUUCGAGUGAUUAUCGCACUAUACUGUGAUAAUAAUCUGGGUGGUACCGCGGUAGGUUAAGUAUAUUCAAACCUCUCGUCCCUUUA